AAAUUGAAGAGUUUGAUCAUGGCUCAGAUUGAACGCUGGCGGCAGGCCUAACACAUGCAAGUCGAACGGUAACAGGAAACAGCUUGCUGUUUCGCUGACGAGUGGCGGACGGGUGAGUAAUGUCUGGGAAACUGCCUGAUGGAGGGGGAUAACUACUGGAAACGGUAGCUAAUACCGCAUAACGUCGCAAGACCAAAGAGGGGGACCCUCGGGCCUCUUGCCAUCGGAUGUGCCCAGAUGGGAUUAGCUUGUUGGUGGGGUAACGGCUCACCAAGGCGACGAUCCCUAGCUGGUCUGAGAGGAUGACCAGCCACACUGGAACUGAGACACGGUCCAGACUCCUACGGGAGGCAGCAGUGGGGAAUAUUGCACAAUGGGCGCAAGCCUGAUGCAGCCAUGCCGCGUGUAUGAAGAAGGCCUUCGGGUUGUAAAGUACUUUCAGCGGGGAGGAAGGGAGUAAA
rnacentral:rRNA from 1 species